GUAGGGAAUCUUCCACAAUGGAUGCAAGUCUGAUGGAGCAACGCCGCGUGAGUGAAGAAGGUUUUCGGAUCGUAAAGCUCUGUUGUUGGUGAAGAAGGAUAGAGGCAGUAACUGGUCUUUAUUUGACGGUAAUCAACCAGAAAGUCACGGCUAACUACGUGCCAGCAGCCGCGGUAAUACGUAGGUGGCAAGCGUUGUCCGGAUUUAUUGGGCGUAAAGCGAGCGCAGGCGGAAUGAUAAGUCUGAUGUGAAAGCCCACGGCUCAACCGUGGAACUGCAUCGGAAACUGUCAUUCUUGAGUGCAGAAGAGGAGAGUGGAACUCCAUGUGCAGCGGUGGAAUGCGUAGAUAUAUGGAAGAACACCAGUGGCGAAGGCGGCUCUCUGGUCUGCAACUGACGCUGAGGCUCGAAAGCAUGGG
rnacentral:rRNA from 1 species